rnacentral:rRNA from 1 species
UCUAAGUAUAAGCAWUUAUACCGUGAAACUGCGAAUGGCUCAUUAAAUCAGUUAUCGUUUAUUUGAUAGUACCUUACUACUUGGAUAACCGUGGUAAUUCUAGAGCUAAUACAUGCUAAAAACCCCGACUUCGGAAGGGGUGUAUUUAUUAGAUAAAAAACCAAUAGCCCUUCGGGGCUCCUUGGUGAUUCAUGAUAACUUCUCAGAUCGCAUGGCCUUGCGCCGGCGACGGUUCAUUCAAAUUUCUGCCCUAUCAACUUUCGAUGGUAAGGUAUUGGCUUACCAUGGUUUCAACGGGUAACGGGGAAUUAGGGUUCGAUUCCGGAGAGGGAGCCUGAGAAACGGCUACCACAUCCAAGGAAGGCAGCAGGCGCGCAAAUUACCCAAUCCCAACACGGGGAGGUAGUGACAAUAAAUACUGAUACAGGGCUCUUUUGGGUCUUGUAAUUGGAAUGAGUACAAUUUAAACCUCUUAACGAGGAACAAUUGGAGGGCAAGUCUGGUGCCAGCAGCCGCGGUAAUUCCAGCUCCAAUAGCGUAUAUUAAAGUUGUUGCAGUUAAAAAGCUCGUAGUUGAACCUUUGGCCUGGCUGGCAGGUCCGCCUCACCGCGUGCACUUGUCCGGCCGGGCCUUCUCUUCUGGAGAACCGCAUGCCCUUCACUGGGUGUGUUGGGGACCAGGACUUUUACUUUGAAAAAAUUAGAGUGUUCAAAGCAGGCCUUUGCUCGAAUACGUUAGCAUGGAAUAAUAGAAUAGGACGUGCGGUCCUAUUUUGUUGGUUUCUAGGACCGCCGUAAUGAUUAAUAGGGACAGUCGGGGGCAUCAGUAUUCAAUUGUCAGAGGUGAAAUUCUUGGAUUUAUUGAAGACUAACUACUGCGAAAGCAUUUGCCAAGGAUGUUUUCAUUAAUCAGUGAACGAAAGUUAGGGGAUCGAAGACGAUCAGAUACCGUCGUAGUCUUAACCUAUAAACUAUGCCGACUAGGGAUCGGGCGGUGUUACUAUUUUGACUCGCUCGGCACCUUACGAGAAAUCAAAGUGUUUGGGUUCUGGGGGGAGUAUGGUCGCAAGCUGAA